UCAUGUGCUUCGUGUUGGAUAUCUGUUCCCGUUGUUCCUGUUUAGUUUGUGUUUCAUCACAGUGUUUAGUUUAUCCUCUGUUUUACCCCCACGUGGGUGUUUCUGUUCUGUUUAAAUAAAUUCAUAGUUUAUUUUUGUAUAUCUGGUCUGCGUUUGGGUUCUUCUUUAGUUUUCCUUUUUCGGUGUUAAACACACCGUGACAAGAAGUGCCCAGCAUAUAAACUGGAAUUCUGUUGUCGUUGUGACCCCAGGGCUUGACAAUUAGGGUCGCAUGAUGGCGUGGUAUCAGCAUGAAUGAUUCAUAUGAGCAAGGAGGGCCCUCCUGUCUGGCUGCAUGGGAGAGGUCGAAUUUCGAAGAGACGGGCACUGCUGACAUGAGCAGACAUUUUGCCAUGUGUGAAAUAAAUACAACCAAAAGAUACAUUAAAUGGUGCACAAAGCUGCAAAUUCCACAACCAAGCCAUCAUUCCACCCCCAUCCAACAGCCCCUUGCAAAACUAGAUGGGGCCCCCAGGUUUCCCUGGAGCUGCGGGGGAGUCCUGUUUUCCUGCAACUCCUAAUAAACCAUUCAA